rnacentral:rRNA from 1 species
AUGCUUGAUACUAAGAUAAAAGUUGUCCAAUCUGAUUGGGGCGGCGAGUAUCACCGUCUCAAUCGUUAUUUUGCUCGGGAGGGCAUCAUGAACCGUGUCUCUUGCCCACAUACUUCACAGCAAAAUGGCAUCGCCGAGCGCAAACAUCGCCAUAUAGUUGAAACAGGCCUCGCCCUUCUUGCUCACUCCUCGCUUCUUGUUCGUUUUUGGGAUGAGGCUUUUAUCACUGCAUGCUAUCUUAUCAACCGUAUGCCAACACGUGUCCUCAAAAAUUCCACCGCUAUUUCUUGUCUUCUGAACAAGCAACCAGAUUAUACUUUCCUCCGUGCGUUCGGAUGUGCUUGUUGGCCGAACCUUCGGCCAUACAACAACAGGAAACUUGAGUUUCGCUCCCGACAGUGUGUUUUUCUCGGAUAUAAUUCCAUGCACAAAGGGUAUAAGUGCCUCGAUCGAACCAGUGGGCAUAUUUACAUCUCACGUGAUGUUGCAUUCGACGAACAUGUGUUUCCAUUUGCCACUGCUCCACCACAAUCACCACCAACCGAACCACUUCUUCCCACUCCUCCAUCAAUUUUUCCUAUCACCGAGCCGGCUGUAGUGGAUGAUCACAUGAGACGAUAUGAUAUUUCCUUUCUCACUGACUCCUCGUGCAGCUCUCCUUCACCUGCAGGUACUGCACCAUCGCCGCCCUCCGGAUCGACGUCGUGCAUGGGCCCGACUGAGCCUGAGGCUAAUAGCCCCAGCCCACGGUCUCCUGCUACGGCCUCCCCUGCGGAGCUUGCCUCUCCUGCUUCAGCAACUCCUUCAGCAACCCCGGCCCAUGAGCCGGUCUUUGCAGAACCGUCCUCGCCUCCUGUCGUCGCUCAACGGGCGCCUGCGCCCCAUCCGAUGACAACACGGCUCCGGGAAAACAUUGUCCAGAAGUUGGUACCAUCUGACGGCACCGUGCGCUAUGACCCUCGUCGACGCGCCUUCCAUGCUGAGCCCCGGUCCUAUCGCCUCGCCCUCGCUGAUACGCAAUGGCGGUCUGCUAUGGAGGAUGAGUUUUCUGCUCUUCAACAGAACAACACUUGGACCCUUGUUCCUCGUCCUGCUGGCAAGAACAUCAUCAGUUGUAAGUGGGUAUUUAAAGUGAAGCACAAGUCUGAUGGCUCCUUGGACAAAUUCAAAGCUCGCCUCGUUGCUCGCGGGUUUACUCAGCAGCAUGGUAUCGAUUACACGGAUACGUUUUCUCCUGUCGUCAAACCAGCCACGGUGCGUCUUGUGCUUUCUCUGGCUGUUUCUCAUGGAUGGCACCUGCGUCAACUGGACAUUAGCAAUGCUUUCUUGCAUGGUAUCCUGACUGAAGAAGCCUAUACGCAGCAGCCUCCCGGCUUCCAUGAUAAUGUUCAUCCUGAUUAUGUCUGCAAGUUGCACAAAGCAUUAUAUGGCUUAAAACAGUCACCUAGGGCCUGGUAUGGUCGCCUCAGCGAUCGUCUUCAGCAGUUGGGCUUUCACUCGUCAGCAGCUGACACUUCCUUGUUCAUCAUUGCCCAUGGUGGUGUUACUAUUUAUAUGCUCGUGUAUGUUGAUGUCAUUGUCAUUGUCAGCUCCUCUUCAUCAGCACUGGAUCGUCUUCUUCGUCAACUCUCUACCACAUUCCCUGUCAAGGAUCUUGGCGCCCUUCGCUAUUUUCUCGGUAUUGAAGUGCUUCCCAAUUCUGGGGGAAUGACUCUCAUACAGAAGAAGUACGCUCUUGAUUUGCUACAACGUACCGACAUGGCCAAUUGUAAAGCAGUCUCAACACCUAUUGUACUCAUGAGAAGCUCGGCAGAGACACCGGACACCGACUGA